CUGAUCUGAAGGGCUUUGGGUCUAUAGGAGGUGUCUGAUCUGAAGGGCUUUGGGUCUAUAGGAGGUGUCUGAUCUGAAGGGCUUUGGGUCUAUAGGAGGUGUCUGAUCUGAAGGGCUUUGGGUCUAUAGGAGGUGUCUGAUCUGAAGGGCUUUGGGUCUAUAGGAGGUGUCUGAUCUGAAGGGCUUUGGGUCUAUAGGAGGUGUCUGAUCUGAAGGGCUUUGGGUCUAUAGGAGGUGUCUGAUCUGAAGGGCUUUGGGUCUAUAGGAGGUGUCUGAUCUGAAGGGCUUUGGGUCUAUAGGAGGUGUCUGAUCUGAAGGGCUUUGGGUCUAUAGGAGGUGUCUGAUCUGAAGGGCUUUGGGUCUAUAGGAGGUGUCUGAUCUGAAGGGCUUUGGGUCUAUAGGAGGUGUCUGAUCUGAAGGGCUUUGGGUCUAUAGGAGGUGUCUGAUCUGAAGGGCUUUGGGUCUAUAGGAGGUGUCUGAUCUGAAGGGAUUUGGGUCUAUAGGAGGUGUCUGAUCUGAAGGGCUUUGGGUCUAUAGGAGGUGUCUGAUCUGAAGGGCUUUGGGUCUAUAGGAGGUGUCUGAUCUGAAGGGCUUUGGGUCUAUAGGAGGUGUCUGAUCUGAAGGGCUUUGGGUCUAUA